rnacentral:rRNA from 1 species
UACGUAGGGGGCAAGCGUUGUCCGGAAUUAUUGGGCGUAAAGCGCGUGUAGGCGGUCCGGUAAGUCGGCUGUGAAAGUCCAGGGCUCAACCCUGGGAUGCCGGUCGAUACUGCCGGACUAGAGUUCGGAAGAGGCGAGUGGAAUUCCCGGUGUAGCGGUGAAAUGCGCAGAUAUCGGGAGGAACACCGAAUGGCGAAGGCAGCUGCCUGGGCCGUGACG